rnacentral:rRNA from 1 species
UACGGGGGGAGCAAGCGUUGUUCGGAUUUACUGGGCGUAAAGCGUGCGCAGGCGGUCUGUUAAGACCGAUGUGAAAUCCCCGGGCUUAACCUGGGAACUGCAUUGGUGACUGGCAGGCUUUGAGUGUGGCAGAGGGAGGUAGAAUUCCACGUGUAGCAGUGAAAUGCGUAGAGAUGUGGAGGAAUACCGAUGGCGAAGGCAGCCUCCUGGGCCAACACUGACGCUCAUGCACGAAAGCGUGGGUAGCAAACAGG